rnacentral:rRNA from 1 species
UACGUAGGGGGCAAGCGUUGUUCGGAAUGACUGGGCGUAAAGGGUGCGUAGGCGGUGUAGCAAGUUAGAAGUGAAAUACCUAGAGCUUAACUCAGGUGCUGCUUCUAAAACUGCUAUACUUGAGUGCAGUAGAGGAGAGUGGAAUUCCUAGUGUAGCGGUGGAAUGCGUAGAUAUUAGGAGGAACAUCAGUGGCGAAAGCGGCUCUCUGGUCUGUAACUGACGCUGAGGUUCGAAAGCGUGGGUAGCAAACAGG